rnacentral:rRNA from 1 species
GAUGAACGCUGGCGGCGUGCUUAACACAUGCAAGUCGAACGGUGAAGCCAAGCUUGCUUGGUGGAUCAGUGGCGAACGGGUGAGUAACACGUGAGCAACCUGCCCUGGACUCUGGGAUAAGCGCUGGAAACGGCGUCUAAUACUGGAUAUGAGCUCUCAUCGCAUGGUGGGGGUUGGAAAGAUUUUUCGGUCUGGGAUGGGCUCGCGGCCUAUCAGCUUGUUGGUGAGGUAAUGGCUCACCAAGGCGUCGACGGGUAGCCGGCCUGAGAGGGUGACCGGCCACACUGGGACUGAGACACGGCCCAGACUCCUACGGGAGGCAGCAGUGGGGAAUAUUGCACAAUGGGCGGAAGCCUGAUGCAGCAACGCCGCGUGAGGGAUGACGGCCUUCGGGUUGUAAACCUCUUUUAGCAGGGAAGAAGCGAGAGUGACGGUACCUGCAGAAAAAGCGCCGGCUAACUACGUGCCAGCAGCCGCGGUAAUACGUAGGGCGCAAGCGUUAUCCGGAAUUAUUGGGCGUAAAGAGCUCGUAGGCGGUUUGUCGCGUCUGCUGUGAAAUCCCGAGGCUCAACCUCGGGCCUGCAGUGGGUACGGGCAGACUAGAGUGCGGUAGGGGAGAUUGGAAUUCCUGGUGUAGCGGUGGAAUGCGCAGAUAUCAGGAGGAACACCGAUGGCGAAGGCAGAUCUCUGGGCCGUAACUGACGCUGAGGAGCGAAAGGGUGGGGAGCAAACAGGCUUAGAUACCCUGGUAGUCCACCCCGUAAACGUUGGGAACUAGUUGUGGGGACCAUUCCACGGUUUCCGUGACGCAGCUAACGCAUUAAGUUCCCCGCCUGGGGAGUACGGCCGCAAGGCUAAAACUCAAAGGAAUUGACGGGGACCCGCACAAGCGGCGGAGCAUGCGGAUUAAUUCGAUGCAACGCGAAGAACCUUACCAAGGCUUGACAUACACCAGAACACCGUAGAAAUACGGGACUCUUUGGACACUGGUGAACAGGUGGUGCAUGGUUGUCGUCAGCUCGUGUCGUGAGAUGUUGGGUUAAGUCCCGCAACGAGCGCAACCCUCGUUCUAUGUUGCCAGCACGUAAUGGUGGGAACUCAUGGGAUACUGCCGGGGUCAACUCGGAGGAAGGUGGGGAUGACGUCAAAUCAUCAUGCCCCUUAUGUCUUGGGCUUCACGCAUGCUACAAUGGCCGGUACAAAGGGCUGCAAUACCGUGAGGUGGAGCGAAUCCCAAAAAGCCGGUCCCAGUUCGGAUUGAGGUCUGCAACUCGACCUCAUGAAGUCGGAGUCGCUAGUAAUCGCAGAUCAGCAACGCUGCGGUGAAUACGUUCCCGGGUC